ACCCAGGAGGCUCCUUCCUCCUCACGUUCACCGGCUCCAACAGAACCCAGACCCAGCCAGCUGUCAAUCACUCUGCUGCCUUCCUCUUCCCUGCUGCAGAUGACUCCCACCAAGGGAACUACAGAUGUGUUUAUGACAAUUAUGUUUCCUCUUAUAACUUCUCCUCUGAGAGUGAGCUCCUCUCCCUCACCAUCACAGCCUCUCCUCUGCCAGCCUUCAUCAUCAGACACGUUGUAGUGCUGCUGAUCCUACUGACAGCCAUCACCACCAUCUACCUGUACUACAAGCCCACCAGGAGGCAGAAGAGAGUGAACAGGGUGAGCAUCA